ensembl:lncRNA
CUCCUCCACCAGCAACACCACCUCUCUCUCUCUCUCUCUCUCUCUCUCUCUUUCCAUCUAACAGUCAUUGCAGCCGUCUGCAGCUCAAGCAGCAUUUUGCAGCUUUAUGGAGCUGUUUCGUGUUUAAUGGAAGCACAUCCAGAGUGUCAUAUCACCUCAGGAGCCCCCCCUCGGUGCAUAUGCAUACUUUUUUCACUAUUCUAAUUUCAUGUCCACGUGAAGGUGGUUGUGUGUGUCAAUCUGCGGAAAAGCUCCAGCACAACAUUCGGUUCUACAUCCUCGCUGCAAACGGGAAGCACGAGAUGCGCCUUUUGGUGUUCGUCUAUUCCCUGUGAACAAAGGAAGCGUUUAACAAGGAGAUACUUCGCCACUGUGUGACUGCAGUUGAGUUGAGUUGCUGGCACUUCAGUCCAUUGUGAGAAAACAACAGGCGCAAUAAUAACAACAGUGCCUUCUCUCUUUUUUAUGAUCUGUGGUUCAGGACACACGCAACUUCCAUAAAUCUCUCGCUUCUUUCUUCUUUUCCUUUCUUUUAUCUUGUUUCCCUCACAGCCACAUCUGUCUUUCCACGCUGGAGGCUUAUACCUGAUCUUUGACCUUAGUUAGCACAGCCCUGGAGACCUGUUUUACACAAACACACACACACAGACACACACACACACACACACACAAUUCCUGCACACACAGAGUGGAAGAUAUUGAUUGGCGAUAGAUAGAUAGAGCAGGGCCUGCCUGAUAAGGAGGCCAUAUUUGAUGUUUGUUCUGGCGGUAGGGAGAGGGACAGCGAGAGAUUAAAUCACAAUGAGCCGCCCGCUCCGUCCUUGGCUUCGUCCCUACUCCGGGAUUCACAGGAGUUUAGGGGUCGAGCUUUAAAGGAUGACGGGUGAGGGACUGUGGACAAGGGCCGCCCGCUCUGCUUAAAUCCACUGUGGUGCGAGCCAUUGAUUAACAGCCUGUAAUGUUAUUCAAGGGUGGGGUUUUCUUUUUUUUUUGGUAUAAUCCGAGGUUUUCUACAUUUCUGCUUCUACAUAGGAAGAAAAAAAAAUCUUUGUUUCCCCUCGCUUGUCCUCGCUGAGCGAUGUGGUGGACUGAUUGACAGGCAUCAAUACACGUCUUUAAGGCGCACAAUGGGCAGGAGGGGGACCAGGUCAUGUUUCCUUCGACACACACACACACACACACACACACACACAAGAGCUCAUUCAUCCACUCUACUCUGCAUACCGGCUGUUUAAAUUAUCAGCAAGUAAUCCUGGUAAAAAUAAAUGGUUACGUUU